ACAAUCCCUAUGAUUUAAUCUCAUGGGAUCCGACCACCGACUGCUGCACCUGGUCCUCGGUGGACUGCGACGACAAAACCAACCGCAUCACCCGAUUCGACACCUCCGCCGCCAAUUUCGGCCUCCCCAUUCCGGCGGCCAUCGGAGACCUCAAGUAUCUCGAAAGCCUCGCUUUCCACAAAGUCAACGUCACCGGUCAAAUCCCGGAAUCCAUAACCAAGCUCACCAACCUCAAAUCUCUCGAUCUCCAGUGGAACUCUCUCACCGGCCCUGUUCCGUCGUUCCUCAGCAAACUCAAGAAGCUGACGUACAUUGGGCUGUCGUUCAACAGCUUCUCCGGCACGAUUCCGGCGUCGCUCUCCCAGCUCCCGAACCUCGGCGGCCUCGGUUUGGACCGGAACAAACUCACCGGCUCAAUCCCGGAAUCUUUCGCCGAUUUCCGGCAGCAGGAUUUCUACCUCUACCUCUCACAUAAUCAGCUGACGGGGAAUAUUCCGGCGAGAUUGGGGCACGCCAACUUCACGUGGAUCGAUGUAUCAAGAAACAGGCUUGAAGGUGACAUAUCGUUCUUGUUCGGGAAGAACAAGAGCUUAAACACCGCCGAUUUUUCGAGGAACAUGUUUCAGUUCGAUUUCUCCAAGGUGGAGUUUUCGGAGAGCUUGAGGAAUCUGGAUCUGAACCACAACAGGAUUACGGGGAGAUUGCCGGAGGGAUUGGCUAAGAUGGGUGAUCUUAUUUCUCUGAACGUGAGUUACAAUCGGCUUUGCGGCAAGAUUCCGGUGGGCGGGAGUUUGCAGAGGUUUGAAACGACGUCGUAUUUCCACAACAAGUGCUUGUGUGGUGCCCCGUUGCCGAAAUGCAAAUGAUUUUAUUAUUAUUAUUAUUAUGGAAUAUUCCUGCAAAUUAGUAUUAUAUUGCAGAUGCAUUUGCGGCGCUUAAAUUAUUAAUUAAUUGUAAUCUUCAUAACAUGUUAUGAAUUUGAAAUAAAUUUUAAGCCCUUAAAUUAUUAAUUGCAAUCUUAGUGAUAUUAUCAAUCUAAAUUAAAAAUUGGGUAAAAUUCAUUUUACCUACCUGAACUAUACCCAACGUAUAAAAUACAUCCCUGAACUUCAAAAUGUAUCAAACCAGCCCCUCCGUUAAAAAUCCAUCCACCUCUGCUGACAUGGCACAUUGACUUUUAAAAUUAUAUCCAGUGGCAUGACAAGUGGCUUUUUCCGGACAAUUUUACCCCUGCAGUACUUUCAUAUAUGGUCUAAUUAGAGGGGUUUUUGUGAAUCAGUUAAUGCAAUUAAAUAUUUAAUUUUUAUUUUUCCUCAAAUAAAUAAAUAAUUAAAAUAAACUGUGAAUCAAUAUUUAGUUUUUAUUUGUGACUUUUUUUUUUGAGUAAAAAAGUAAAGUAAUCUAAUUAAAUGAAAAAACACAAUAUAAUUAAAAGAAGUCCUAAUCCAAUUAGCUUGGUCAGACCCUCCUAAUGGACUCAUCUCCUUCGCAGCUGCACCAUAUCACGACCCAAUUUGAAUUCUUCAAGAUUCAAAUUCCUGGAGAACACAAGAAACGAAUUCGGAGGAAAACCAAAGAGAAACCCAAUACAAAUCCCUUUUAAAAAGGUCACAAAAUCAGAAAUUGGGGCACACAAGAAACGGGUUGAUGUUUUCGUCGGAUUCCGCCGACAUCUUGGCCGUGUAGGGCGGAGCGAAGUCGGAGCUGCGCUGGUUUCGCAACGAAGAGUUCAAAUUUCUUCUGGAUUUCAUUUUUUUCCGGUCGCCACCGCCAACGGAAACCCAAAUAGGGGUUUGUGAGAAGCUUGACCUCCCGCCGGAAAAACAUGAGCUAAUCCUUAAUUUCAGAUGUGUGAAAGUAGGUUUUAUUGUUUUAUGGGUCAUGGUACUAGAGAGAGAAGAGGAACAAUGGUGAUGUGUUUGAUGAACAUCACUUCUGUAGAAAGAAAGAAAAGGGACGAAGAAGAAAGAAAGAAAAUGAAGGAUGAGGGAGAAAAAGUUGGAGAGAUAAUAUGACUGGACAAAAAUGUAAAAACACAUAAAAAACUAACGGAGUUAAAAAUUGUAACGGUUUUAACGUUGACUCAAAAUUCAGAGGGACUAUCUUGGUUCAUUUCAAAGUUCAGGGGGGGUAUUUUAUACGUUGGAUAUAGUUCAGGUAGGUAAAAUGAACUUUACCCUUAAAAAUUUAAAGUACACGUGAAAUAAUAAAAAGAUUUGCAUGUAUUAUUGCAUUAUGGCACGUGAAACUAACCCUAAGAUAUUUUUGUAAUAUUAUUUUAAAAAAGUUUUUCUUUCAUUUUUUUAUAUUCCACCUAAUCAUAUUUUUUUGGGUAAGUUACAACUAUACCUGAGGUAUGGUUAAAUUAUAAGAAACACCCUCUUGUUUGGGUAUUUACAACCACCCCUUCAACUAUAAAUCUUCUUAUACGUCCACCCCUGCGGUUUCAAAUUUAGUGAAAUCUUCAAGAUUAUAUGGAAUAUUAUCUUCGAGGUGUAAGAAAAAAUCAUAGUUGAGGGGAGUAGAUGUAAUUAUCCAAACAAGAGAGGUUUUUUCAUAAAUUGACCAUACCUCAGGGGUGUUUGUAAUUUACCCUAUUUUUUUUUUAUAUAUCUACAACAACUUAUUUUAUCCCACAAAAAUCUCUCAAUUAAUUUACUAACACUUCACUUUUUUGUUAAUGAAGAAGUAUAAUAUUUAUACUUUCUUUCACGACAUCUUUUGAAUUAUUAUUUUUGUAUGUUUUUUUUUCUCUAUUAAUUCUCUAAUUUUUCACUUUGAAAGCUAUUUUAUGCAUCGUCUCCGGAGAAAAUGCUAGUAAUUGGAGACCCAAUACAUAAGCCAAAUUUAAUAAUGGGGCCCAUCAAAUAUCUAAUCUCAUGUAUAUAAAUUCCCAUAAUUAAAUGUAAACAUAUUGUAACUUUGACUAUUAGUCCUCUUAAAAUAGAAACACUUUGACAGUUUGACUAGUGAAAGCAAAAAGAUAUUUUUAUCAAAAUUUAUUUGGACCAUACAUUCUCAAUCCACGUGAAUUGCAUAAAGUUUCUUUCUUGUACUCAAAUAAUGAGUGGGGCAAUAUAUCUGCAUGCUUCACUGAUUGAAAAUAUUAUUUUUUUAUUCUUUCCACGUGACAUAUUUUUAUGUACAUCAAAUUCAAAUUCGAAUUGGAAAUGGGGUCACACAUUUGGCAACACAAACCAAAAGUAGGAUAAGAUCAAUUUUGCAAUUUGCAUAGUGGAUGGUCCUUUUACUUAGUUAUUUCUAUGUUACACCCGAUGAAGACUACAUUGAGUGUCUUUUAUCGUUGAUUUAAACAUACUAAUACGAGUGUGUGUGAUUUCUGUCUCAGAGGGUUCUCAGAUGAAUUACCUUGUGCAAGAGGAGCUUUCCCAUUACUUCCAUUGACUGCUUUCACCAAUUCUCCAACUAAUUUGGUCAGAUCUUCAAUUUUUUGAUUAGUCUCUACUCUGUUUCUAGUCAUUUAUGUGUGCAAAUUUGACAACAUCUCUCCUAUUUCACUCUGUAUCUUUUUGUUGAAUGCUAAUUGCUCAUCCAGAUAGACUUCUGCAUCAAAUCUGGUGUUGUCUCCAGAUCCCGUUCUGACAUGACUCCUUGUCAUCAUUCCUAGCUCCUCGCCAGAAACGAUGGCUCUAGAUACCAAUUGUUAUGAUUUCUUCCUCUUGAUGAAUCAUGAAGCUUGAAAUUUACCUGCAAAUGUGAAAUAUGAUGGAUAUGAUAGGGUGAGAAGAAUGAUACUGGCGGCGGUUCUUUAGGCUUAGGUAGAGAUUUCUAGCAAAAGAAACUACACUAUAUUAACCUAAAAGUUACCAGCAAAUUGACGAAAAAAUGGCAGGCUCCUCUCUUGUCUUUUUAUACUGCAAAAGCAGGUGAGAAGAGAGGGGUUCAGGAGUGCUCCUCCUCAUGCAAAGUUGGUGAGCUGCCUCGGUGUAUGAAACGGUGCCGUUUCCCCAUUAUUCAAGCUGAAGUAAUAAAACGUGAAAUAAUAUAAAACGUGUCCACGCUUCUAUGAGUUGAACGACGUCGUUUAUUCCUACGGUAAUUCAAAAUACCGUUUAUUCUGUUACAACGUGUUAUUAUUCUGAUACAAGGUACCUCCGGAGGCGCCAGUAGUGUCGUGAAUUGUCAUUGGAUGAGGAUCAUACAUUAUAGGCAGAUUGAAAUCGGUGGAAAUGCUGCCUUUGUCGGAAUCUACGGCACCGCCUCCUCCACUUAAUAUACGUUGCUAAUUAAUCACCUAUUCUACCACUUAAUCAGUACGUAAUUCAUAGUACGCAAUAAUUUUGAUGUAUUUCAUUACUUAACUCAGGAAUUUCUAGAGAAAGAUGUCGGACGAUAUUCAAACGUAACUUUCAAAGACAAUCCUCAAAUUAUUUACAUCGAUUUAAUGACCAGUUGCAAAUUAAUAAUUUAUAGUAAAAUUUAUUUUCAAUAUAUUUGUAUAAAAAUAUAUAAAAAGAAUUUAUAUAUACAUAAAAAUUUAUAAAUGUUUAUACAGAAUAUUUACACUUUCCCCUAAGUUCACGUAUCCCCAUUUUCGAAAAACCCCGUUUCCGCGUAUCACCGUUUCUGUAUCCGUACUACAUAGACAGUCCAUAUCCUACCCCUUAUAUAAACCUCAACUAGUGGCAUGCAUUAUACACUCAUCUCUCUUCUAUCCAAAAAUCAUGGCCACUAUCUCCGGCCAUUGUCUCAUACUUUUGCUAAUUCUCUUCUUCUUCUCCUUCAACUCUUUGGCAUUUUCAAAGAAAUGCCAUCCAAAUGACAAAAAAGCCCUCCUACAAAUCAAGAAAGACCUCAACAAUCCCUACGAGUUAAUCUCAUGGAAUCCGACCACCGACUGCUGCACCUGGUCCAUGGUGGACUGCGACGAAAAAACCAACCGCAUCACCCGAUUCGACACCUCCGACGCCAAUUUCGGCCUCCCCAUUCCGGCGGCCAUCGGAGACCUCAAGUAUCUCGAAAACCUCGCCUUCCACAAAGUCAACGCCACCGGUCAAAUCCCGGAAUCCAUAACCAAACUCACCAACCUCAAAUUUCUCGAUCUCCGGUGGAACUCUCUCACCGGCCCUGUUCCGUCGUUCCUCAGCAAACUCAAGAAGCUGACGUACAUUGGGCUGUCGUUCAACAGCUUCUCCGGCACGAUUCCGGCGUCGCUCUCCCAGCUCCCGAAC
rnacentral:lncRNA from 1 species